rnacentral:rRNA from 1 species
UACGUAGGUGGCAAGCGUUGUCCGGAAUUAUUGGGCGUAAAGCGCGCGCAGGUGGUUUCUUAAGUCUGAUGUGAAAGCCCACGGCUCAACCUUUGAAUGCCGAUGGAUACUGUCGAGCUAGAGUCCGGAAGAGGCGAGUGGAAUUCCUGGUGUAGCGGUGGAAUGCGCAGAUAUCAGGAGGAACACCAAUAGCGAAGGCAGCUCGCUGGGACGGUACUGACGCUAAGGCGCGAAAGCGUGGGGAGCGAACAGG